rnacentral:rRNA from 1 species
UACGUAGGGUGCGAGCGUUGUCCGGAUUUAUUGGGCGUAAAGAGCUCGUAGGCGGUCUGUCGCGUCGGAUGUGAAAACCCAGGGCUCAACCCUGGGCCUGCAUUCGAUACGGGCAGACUAGAGUACGGCAGGGGAGACUGGAAUUCCUGGUGUAGCGGUGAAAUGCGCAGAUAUCAGGAGGAACACCGGUGGCGAAGGCGGGUCUCUGGGCAGUAACUGACGCUGAGGAGCGAAAGCGUGGGGAGCGAACAGG